GAUGAACGCUGGCGGCGUGCCUAAUACAUGCAAGUCGAGCGAACAGACGAGGAGCUUGCUCCUCUGACGUUAGCGGCGGACGGGUGAGUAACACGUGGAUAACCUACCUAUAAGACUGGGAUAACUUCGGGAAACCGGAGCUAAUACCGGAUAAUAUAUUGAAUCGCAUGGUUCAAUAGUGAAAGACGGUUUUGCUGUCACUUAUAGAUGGAUCCGCGCCGCAUUAGCUAGUUGGUAAGGUAACGGCUUACCAAGGCAACGAUGCGUAGCCGACCUGAGAGGGUGAUCGGCCACACUGGAACUGAGACACGGUCCAGACGCCUACGGGAGGCAGCAGUAGGGAAACUUCCGCAAUGGGCGAAAGCCUGACGGAGCAACGCCGCGUGAGUGAUGAAGGUCUUCGGAUCGUAAAACUCUGUUAUUAGGGAAGAACAAAUGUGUAAGUAACUAUGCACGUCUUAACGGUACCUAAUCAGAAAGCCACGGCUAACUACGUG
rnacentral:rRNA from 1 species